UCGCCCUGUUGCGGAGAGUGUUCGCAGCAUUCGAGCGGCGACAGGUGGAGGAAGCCGGUGCGAGUCCGGCGCGGUCCCGCCACUGUCACCGGGGAGCGGACUCCAACGACGUCACUGCCCUGCGGGGCGGGAAGGCGGAGCGAGCGCUGAUCCGGGAGCCAGGAGACUCCGGUCGCCGCGACCUACGA
rnacentral:ncRNA from 2 species